rnacentral:ncRNA from 1 species
GUUUGUCAUAAUUAACGUAAAGCCAAUUCCCUUUGGAGUCAGUGUGAAAGUUAACCACCUUUCCGACCCGUCUUGAAACACGGACCGAGGAGUGUAAUUUAUACGCGAGUCAAGGGGUGGUGAAAACCCUAGGGGCGGAAUGAAAGUAAAGGCCGGUUAACCGGUUGACAUGGGAUCCGCUCUUCGGAGCGGCGCACCAUGGCCCUGUCUUGUCUGCUUGCAGAUGGGCAGCGGUAGAGCGUAUAGUUUGCGACCCGAAAGAUGGUGAACUAUGCUUGAGCAGGACGAAGCCAGAGGAAACUCUGGUGGAAGUCCGUAUCGGUUCUGACGUGCAAAUCGAUCGAUAGACUUGGGUAUAGGGGCGAAAGACUAAUCGAACCGUCUAGUAGCUGGUUCCCUCCGAAGUUUCCCCCAGGAUAGCUGGAGUAGUGGUGCGUGGUUAUAUCCGGUAAAGCGAAUGAUUAGAGGACGUUGGGGGCGAAACGAUCUCAACCUAUUCUCAAACUUUCAAUGGGUAUGAUGUCUCGGUUUCUUUAUUGAACUGUUGACAUGAACGUGUGCUCCAAGUGGGCCAUUUUUGGUAAGCAGAACUGGCGCUGUGGGAUGAACCAAACGCUGGGUUAAGGUGCCUAACUUUUCUCUCAUGAGACCCCAUAAAAGGCGUUGGUUGAUAUAGACAGCAGGACGGUGGCCAUGGAAGUCGGUACCCGACUAAGGAGUGUGUAACAACUCACCUGCCGAAUCAACUAGCCCUGAAAAUGGAUGGCGCUUGAGCGAAAGACCUAUACCCGGCCGUUACUGGCUUGUGCGAUGGCUAACGCCUGGCCGUAACGAGUAGGAGGGUCGUGGUGGUUGCGUUGAAGGCUUAGGGCGUAGGCCCGGCUGGAGCUUCCAUCAGUGCAGAUCUCGGUGGUAGUAGCAAAUAUUUAAGUUCGAUCCUUGAAGACUGAAGUGGGGAAGGGUUCCACGUGAACAGUAGUUGAAUGUGGGUCAGUCGAUCCUAAGAUACUGGCUUAUGCCUUGUAUCAUCGAGAGGGAGAAGUUUCUUCUCUCUCGGAUAUCGAAAGGGAAUAGAGUUAAUAUUCUCUAACGCAGACAUAGAGAUUGUGGCUCUUUGAGUUGCUUGCGCGGUAACGCAUUCGAACUCGGUAACGUCGCUUAGAGACCGAGCUAGAGUUUUCUUCUCUAGUUAAGGAACGGACUCCCUGGAAUCGGUUCAUCCGGAGAUAGGGAUGUUGUUUCCGUAAAGCACCGCGGUUUCUGUGGUGUCUCGUGCUCUCUGAACGGCCCUUGAAAAACCGAGGGAGGCUAUUAAUCUAUGCUGCAUCGUACCGAUAUCCGCAUCAGGU